rnacentral:lncRNA from 1 species
CAGGCUUCGCCCUCGCCCCGGAGGCCGCUGGGGGUGGGGUGGGUGUCAGAGGUUCAGACUCGUGACUAUUUUAAGGAGGGCGUCCCUGGGCUGGCCUGGGGAAGGUGGCCCAGGCCCUCUGGCGUCCUCUUUCCGCUUUCCUUUCCCAUAGCCUUCGGGGAGAACUUAGCACCGUGGGCAUCAUCAAAGUAUUUUUUUCUUUGACUUCUUUUUAUUGAGUGCUGCGGUCUACCCAGGACCAGCAGUGACACUUGACCAUGAAUUAUUCAGAUGUUCUUUAAAACUCUAGAAAGAUCCUCCCAAGGACUCAAGAAUACAUCAAGCUUCCCUGUUCAUGAAGGCUCCGGAUGCAUGAGCCGGUCUGUACCCAAGCAGAGACAAACUUGUAGGCUAAAACUUUAAAUUCCUCAGAAAAAAUAAAUUAAAAAACAACGAAUGCCGAGCGACCUGGUGAGACCAUCAAGGGUCUCUCGGUGUCGGGGUUCCAGCGCGUUCAGGGUAGGAUGAAGACGCGGCUGCUGCACACCUGCUGCAAUGUUGGGAGCCACAGUCUCAGGUUGGGGUGGGGCGGAGGCCCUGGCACCCAGCAGGAACAAACCUCCGUCCGCUAAUCCAGAAAAAAAUAAAAACCCCUGCCUCCCCCAACCAAGAUCUCCAGGCUUUUGAUGGGAAACAAGAAAAUCUGAGAGAAAGACUCAGAGGGAGCUACGGAAGUUAAGCCUAGCCCCGGGAAACGAGUUCCUCCUGGGUGUAGACACGCCUUUGCCGAGCUGUGCAGAGUGACCCGCACCAAACGAACACGGCUGCAUCCCAGCCCCUCGGUCCUCAGUCCCCGGCUGGGCCCACGCGCGAGGGGUGUGGGUCCCCUCUACUACAGCCAGUGGCACCGUCAAGACCCCUGCACACGCCCUGGAGUUGGGGACAGCCAAGCACCAGGGACCAAGGUGCCAGCCACGCCAGACCCUGCUAAUGCAGAAAUGGAGAACGAAUCAAGCUGCAAAGCCAGCAUUGCCAGGCCAGAAGGAGGGCUAGAAAGUGUUGCCAUCCUCAUCUUUCGACCCAGAAAGCCCGGAGAGAGGUUAAGGCAGGAGCCCCUUGUGGCAGAGCUGGUGAGAGAAGGUCUCGAAUCCAGAUUCAUGAGUUGUAGUUCUUUUUCCAUUUUACUUUGUUCUGCCUUCAACUAGGAAAUACUUUCUGUAACCAUCAUUUUACUUUUUUAAAAAUCUCUGGAUUUCCUUUAGUGACCAC